AAGGAUAUCAAGUGAAAAUUCACUUAGACCAAGAAUUGUGAUUUAAAAAAACUUCACUUUCGUAAAUCACAAAGAAGUGUAUAGGAAAACCUCUCUAGAGUGAUAGUAUAGAAAUAUAUAGGUAAAUAAAUUCCUCAUAACUCUUUAAUGGUUAAAUAUUGUGAAAAGAUCUUUUUACAUUUCGUUUUUUCAGUUUGUUGUAUUUUGAUAUAACAUAGGAAUUUUUCAAAGAUAGUAAAAUUCGAUUGUUUUCUUUAAGAAUAAACCAUAAUUGACAUGCUAUUCAGUUGUUUACAUGGUAUAUAACAGAGAAACAAUUCAAACUUAGCUAAAGCAUUGAGUUUAACUAAGAUUCUAUUAUUUUCUCUUGUUUAAAUGAAAUAAAUAAAAAAUAACAUUUUAACAUUACUUGAAAAUAGUGGCUAAUCGAAUUUUAGCAAAAAUAUUUCCCAUCUUUAACUGUAAAUAUGUAUGUUUUUUUUUUAUACAUGUGUAUCUACAUCUAUAUGUAAAAUAAAGUGACCACAGCUUU
rnacentral:misc_RNA from 1 species